GGGUGAGAGCCCCGUCGUGCCCG
rnacentral:snRNA from 1 species